CCACCAGACUCCUACGGGAGGCAGCAGUGAGGAAUAUUGGUCAAUGGGCUUACGCCUGAACCAGCCAAGUCGCGUGAGGGAAGACGGCCCUACGGGUUGUAAACCUCUUUUGUCGGGGAGCAAAGCGAACCACGUGUGGUUCAUUGAGAGUACCCGAAGAAAAAGCAUCGGCUAACUCCGUGCCAGCAGCCGCGGUAAUACGGAGGAUGCGAGCGUUAUCCGGAUUUAUUGGGUUUAAAGGGUGCGCAGGCGGAGGUGCAAGUCAGCGGUCAAAUUGCGGGGCUCAACCCCGUACUGCCGUUGAAACUGCAUCCCUUGAGUGCGCGAGAAGUAUGCGGAAUGCGUGGUGUAGCGGUGAAAUGCAUAGAUAUCACGCAGAACUCCGAUUGCGAAGGCAGCGUACCGGCGCCCAACUGACGCUGAAGCACGAAGGCGUGGGUAUCGAACAGGAUUAGAUGCCCGAGUAAC
rnacentral:rRNA from 1 species